rnacentral:sRNA from 1 species
GAUUUUCCCGCCAAAAA